AGAGAGCGAGCAGUCUUUACUCACUUCAUCCGACCGUUCCUUUCCAGAAAGGAUUUGCCAGAUCCAGGCUGUGUGUCUUCUGCCAAUAGUAGUCAGCUCUGGCUACAGGCCAACCUUGGCAAUUUCUCUCAAUUUGCGAGCGUAGAGGAUUUGAAAGCCCUUUAUCCAAACUUCUCCAGUGCCGACGCCUUGUCCAAACUGUCUCCCUCUCAGGUAGCAGAGAUACUGCUGCGCACAGACAUCUCAAAUGACACAAAAUUUGUCGAUCAAGUCUUUGAGCGA